CGGGUGGGUAUAUUGAACAAAGCAGGGUCUCAUAGCAUUAGCACUGCCGUUGGCUGAUUUCAUUAUUUUCAGAUGAUGUCGGCUGCUAAUCGAACUACUACAAUAUUAUUUCUAAAAUCUAAAAUAAUGUUUAUAUAAAACAAGAGCGAUAUUUGGAGAAAAAAAAUCACUUCACAUCAUCUUUCUGAGCAUUUGCCCCAUUUGUCAUGCAAAUGAAAUAUGAAAAUUUUCAAAUCAACCAACGUAAUCAUACUUUGGUCUCUCUCCCCCUAAUAAUUUCUUUAUAUAUUUGUUUUCGGUUUGCUUCCCUCUGUAACACGCCUGGUCACUGAGCGCAUUGUCACAAAUUCCUCAGCUGCGGACGGAUGUAUUCCAACCGUGCUGUCAAAUUGGGCCUUUGUCGCUCCACAUUUCAGUGCAACAGCAAUUCCCUGUAUAAUUUCAGGAGCAUCUGGCCCACACAUGGAAGCUCCAAGAACUUUAUCAUUCUCAGCAUCAACAACAAGCUUCAUCACU
rnacentral:misc_RNA from 1 species